ensembl:lncRNA
GUAAGAGCUGGUCCUGGGGUGAAGGGUGGGAGGAGGGGGAAGACAAGGAGGUGGAGAGGUGGGGGUGAACCGGAGAAGAGCUAGGUGUAGAUAGGACCCCGCCUGGUCAGGAGAUGGGGCUGCCAUGGUUGACAGAUCCCUUAGGUUUGGAUGAUGACCCAAGAUCCAACUCAGCCCUUUGACUUUCCCUGGAGCAUUGACAGGGAUCCAACUUCAAAUGAAAUCAACUUCACUGAUUGCACAUCUGCCAGCCGUCACAUACAUCUUGAAGGAGAGAGUGCCUGGACCGAACAGAUGGGGGCCGAGAGAUAUCACAACCCCAGCGAAUAAAGGGACGCUUUUGUCACAAGGGGAAAACAGAAGGGUUUGGCGGACAGAGCAGUGCUGGAGGCCAGGAAGUCCAAGAUCAAGGUGCUGGCAGAUUCAGUUCUUGAAGCAAGACUCAAAACCAAACUGGUGCAUUCAGAAGGGACACUGGGACCACAGAAGUGGUGACUGCCUGGUGGAGCUGACCUCAUCAUUUGGUCUCUUCACCAGAGAAGAGGGGACCAGCACACUUACUGUGUCUUUAAAUUUUUGAGGACUGAACAUAUAAGUCAGAUUUCUCACCGUUGGAGAAGAAAGUACAAAUAUAGAAAGAAGAAAGGCUAAAAUGAACCUUGUGGAAUUGGAUUAGAAUGGGAAAUAUUAAUAUGAAUUCAUGGUUUGUGCACGUUUGUAUAUGUGUAUAUACAUACUUUCCAGCUCAGUCCACCGAAAGGGGCUAGAAAGACUAACACCUCAGUAGCAAUGGGCUCAUCUAGAGCCCAGAUCUUGGUUUUUGAUCCACACUAAAAGAAACCAGGGCUUGAAGGCUGGGGUUGGGAAAGUACACAUAAGCUUGGAAGAUCUUGUUGUGACAGAAAUUAAAGAAGUACUCAAAGAAUUUUGGCGACAUGUCAAAAGGACACAGCAGCAAGAUUGAAGUGGUUCCCUCUGGCCAAAUCUGGGACAAUUUGAGCAUCAAAAUAAAUAAUGAGACUAUGGAGUAUAACCCAUCGAGUAAAAUAGGAACCCAUGAGUUAUACUGGAGAAAUUUGUGAUCAAAGUUAACAUCAUCAGUAAAAAGACAACAGAUAUCAUAUGUCUUCUGAUAUGAUGCACUGAGAAGAACACAACAUCACUUAUCUGAUAUUCCUGCCUAAAAAAUGCAUAAACUUAGUUAAUUAUGAGAAAACAUCAAACAAACUCAAAUUAAAGGAUAUUCCACAAAGUAACUGGAUUGUACUCUUCAAAAAUGUCAAGAUCAUAAAGGAUAAGGAAAGACUGAGGAAUUGUUCUGGAAUAAAGACCCGAGACAUGACAACUGAAUGUUAUGCAUGGUCCUAGAUUUUCUUUGCUUAUAAUGAAUAUUAUUAGGACAGUUGGAAAAUUUAAAUAUAGCCAUUUAGCAUCAUAUCAGUAUUAAUUUCUUGAUUAUGAUACUGAUUGUGGUUAUGGAAGAGAAUGUCCUUGUUUUUAGUAAACAUACACUAAAGUAUUUAGGGAUAGAUAGAUAAAGCAAAUGUGAUAAAAUGCUAAUAUUUGAGGAAUCUAAGUGAAAGUUAUAUGAGAUUCCUUGUACCAUUCUUGCAACUUUUCUGUAAAUCUGAAAUUAUUUCAAAAUAAAAACUGAAAAAAUCACAAUGUUAUUUAGAUUACUAGUAACUAGAUGGUAUUAGAGAAGAGUGUUAUAAUAGUUUCAUUUUAAAAGGUCAGUGUUUAUAAUACUCAAGAAAUCAAAUCCUUUGCAACUGUUUAACUUACAAUGAAAAUUUUAGAUAACUUAAAAAUGUGUGACAAUUUUUAGGAUAGUGAAACUAUUCUGUAUACUAUAAUGGUGGAAACAUGUCAGUUCGCAUUUGUCAAAACCCAUAGACAGUGUAACAGCAGGCAUGAACUCUAAUGUAAACUAUGAGCUUUGGGUGAUAAAGAUGUGUCAGCAUAGAUUCAUCAAUUGUAACAAAUGUGCCACUCUGGUGGGGAUGUUCAUAGCGAGGGAGGUUGUACAAGUGUAGGGGGAGGGAGUAUAUGGGAACUCUGUACUUUCUAUUUGGUUUUGCUGUGAACCUAAAGCUACUCUAAAAAAUAAAGUCUAGGGGCCGGCCCAGUGGUGCAGCGGUUAAGUUUGCACGUUUUGCUUCUCUGUGGCCCAGGGUUUGCCAGUUUGGAUCCCGGGUGCAGACACGGCACCGCUUGGCAAAAGUCAUGCUGUGGUAGCAUCCCACGUAUAAAGUAGAGGAAGAUGGCAUGGAUGUUAGCUCAGGGUCAGCCUUCCUCAGCAAAAAAAUAGAGGAGGAUUGGCAGUAGUUAGCUCAGGGCUAAUCUUCCUCAAAAAUUAAAAAUAAAGUCUAUUUAAAAAAAAAUGUGUGAGAGAAUGCAUACUUUUUCCAAGUCUUUUAGAGGUAAGUGAGCAAAAUAAUUUGAGAUAAUUUCCUUAGAGGCUUUAUGCACAUAUUCACCAGAAUAUUUGUAUAAAACCAACAUAGCAGCAUUUUUAUAAUAACCUCAAC